AUGCAGCUUGGAUCUCUCAUCCUCACGGCCUUCCUGGGGCAACUGCUGGGCACCAUGGGACAGAUCACUGUCACCCAGCAAGAAGGACACGUCACAGUGAAGCAGGGAGACACCUUCCAGACAACCUGCACAUACCAGACUUCCAACUUUAAUGGCUUGGUCUGGUACCAGCAGAGGAAAGGCCAAGGUCCCCAGCUGGUCUCCUAUCAGGCAACUGCUGGCCGCAAGCCCAGUGGCCGUCUCACCACUGUGCUGAACACCACUGAGAAAUACAGCCUCCUGCAGCUGGAGGAAGUCGGGCUCUCUGACAGUGCCUUGUACCUCUGUGCAUUGGACCAGGUUUACAAAGCUGGAGAGGUGGAAAACCCACCAAGCAGAGGUGGGCAACAGGCCCUACCAAGAGAAGAACUGGCCUUGGGGAAAGAUACUUCAUGCCUAGAAGAAGGCCAGGGCUAUCCAGAGCAGGAGGAAUCCCCUUCUGCACAGGACUGUGAGCUGCUGGCCUCUCAGAGCCUCCAGCAGCACUGGGGAGCACUCUCCAAGGGAAAGCAGUGA